rnacentral:rRNA from 1 species
GAUGAACGCUGGCGGCGUGCCUAACACAUGCAAGUCGAGCGAACGGACGAGAAGUUUGCUUCUCUGAUGUUAGCGGCGGACGGGUGAGUAACACGUGGAUAGCCUACCUAUAAGACUGGGAUAACUACGGGAAACCGGAUCUAAUACCGGAUGAUAUUUUGAACCGCAUGGUUCAAAAGUGAAAGACGGUCUUGCUGUCACUUAUAGAUGGAUCCGCGCUGCAUUAGCUAGUUGGUAAGGUAACGGCUUACCGAGGCAACGAUGCAUAGCCGACCUGAGAGGGUGAUCGGCCACACUGGAACUGAGACACGGUCCAGACUCCUACGGGAGGCAGCAGUAGGGAAUCUUCCGCAAUGGGCGAAAGCCUGACGGAGCAACGCCGCGUGAGUGAUGAAGGUCUUCGGAUCGUAAAGCUCUGUUAUUAGGGAGGAACAUAUGUGUAAGUAACUGUGCACAUCUUGACGGUACCUAAACAGUAAGCCACGGCUAACUACGUG